GGGAAUCUUUGUAGAUAAAGAUCUGUAAGUAGGAUUUCCUUACACAUACCUCUAUAGCCUGGUUUUGCCUAGAGAAUCCUGUCAGAAAUCUAGUUUGGCAUCAGCCUCUUCACAUAUGGACCAAACAUCCCCCUUCAGGCUUGUUUCCUACCAACCCUCUCCAAGUUCAAGUUCCUUCCCCUUAUCCCCAUAUUUCAUGUAUCUUAACCACACUAAAAUAGUAUUUCCCAAACAAGCCAUGACGGUCCCUUUUCUAAAAUCCUGUACCUACCUCCUCCCUGGAGGCUUCCCACCUCCCUUUUCCCACAAAACAACAAGCAGUUUGAGGACAGGACCUCUCUCAUUCACUGUUUCUUCUCUAUCACUCAGUACUUUCCUUAGCAUAUAGGAGAAGCUUGACAACUAUGAAUUAAAUUGAAGAAGGGAGCCUUCAAGACCCAUUCCAAAGGUUUUACCCCCAUUUGAAUACCCGAAUUAGGAGUUCCUUCCCAGAUGUCAUUGCCUUCUUUCAUGACUUUCUUAUAUCAAUUCUCUCCCCUCCAUGAAUCUCACCAGAUCCAUGCAUGGUGCUUUGCAAAUAAGUAUAGACAGUCCCUGACUCAUGAUGGUUCAACUUAAGGUCUUUUUGCCUUUGUGAUGGUACAAAAGCAUUUAGAAGAAAACAAACUUGGAAUUUUUUAAUAUUUAGUUUUUAGUUUUCGGCGAACACAACAUCUUUGUAUGCGGUGCUGAGGAUCGAACCCGGGCCGCACGCAUGCCAGGCGAGCGCGCUACUGCUUGAGCCACAUCCCCAGCCCCAAACUUGGAAUUUUGAAUUUUGAUCUUUUCCUGGUGGUAUGAUACUCUUUUGUAAUGGGGCCAUGAGAGAAAACCACAGCUCCCAGCCAGCAGCACUAUCGGAUGAUCAUCACAUAUAAAAUAGACUUUGUGUUAGAUGAUUUUACCCA
rnacentral:lncRNA from 1 species